rnacentral:sRNA from 1 species
AACAAUAAUAAAUUACCUCCUACUUCUCUCCCGUUGCCCCACCAGGAUGGUGGGGAUUUU